GAUGAACGCUGGCUACAGGCUUAACACAUGCAAGUCGAGGGGAAACGACGGGGAAGCUUGCUUCCCCGGGCGUCGACCGGCGCACGGGUGAGUAACGCGUAUCCAACCUGCCUCUGACUGAGGGAUAACCCGUCGAAAGUCGGCCUAAUACCUCAUGGCAUCGUCUGCGGGCAUCCAACGACGAUUAAAGAUUUCAUCGGUCAGGGAUGGGGAUGCGUCUGAUUAGCUUGUUGGCGGGGUAACGGCCCACCAAGGCUACGAUCAGUAGGGGUUCUGAGGGGAAGGUCCCCCACAUUGGAACUGAGACACGGUCCAAACUCCUACGGGAGGCAGCAGUGAGGAAUAUUGGUCAAUGGGCGGGAGCCUGAACCAGCCAAGUAACGUGCAGGAUGACGGCCCUAUGGGUUGUAAACUGCUUUUAUGCGGGAUAAAGUGAGGGACGUGUCCUUCAUUGCAGGUACCGCAUGAAUAAGGACCGGCUAAUUCCGUG
rnacentral:rRNA from 1 species